CCCUACUGUUAGAUUACUUACAUCUGGAUGUUGCAAGCCAUGUCUUAUAUGUGCUUAUAUUCUCAUAGAUCUUAAAAUAUUAUCAUGAACUAGGUAGAAGCUCAAAAAAUGUGUGUUGAAUUCAUUCAUUCAUAUCCAAAAGUGAUGAAAAGAGAGAUCAGUUGCCCAUAAAUUUCUUUUGACUUAAACCAUAGCAUUCCCUUUUUGAAUCUUGGCUACUUAUAAUAAACAAAAACAUACCCAUUUAUAAUAGACGUAUAAAAAGGAUAUUAAUCAAUUAAUAUGCCAAGUACUUUUCCAAUUGCAGGAAACCAUUAAAAUUGUAUGUAGGUAUAGUGUAGGUGUAGUGUAUCUUUUAUUAAAGAGUAUAAUUGAUUGCUAUAAAUAGUCAUAUAAAUAUUCAUAUUAUUCAAGUACUUAUCUUGUAUAUGCUGAC
rnacentral:lncRNA from 1 species